UCCUAAAAGAAAAAAAUAAAAAUUGGAAAGAUACAGAGAUUAGCAUGGCCCCUGCUUAAGGAUGAUAUGCAAAUUCGUGAAGUACUCCGUAUUUUU
ensembl:snRNA U6 U6 spliceosomal RNA